ensembl:snRNA U1 U1 spliceosomal RNA
AUAAUUACCUGGCAGCGGAGAUGAUAGCAUGAAGGUGGUUUUCCCAGGGCGAUGCUUUUUCCAUUGCACGCCGGUUGUGCUGACCCUGCGAUUAACCCAAAUGUGAGAAAUUCGGCUGCAUAAUAGCAGUGGAGGACUGCAUUAGUGCUUUCCGCUC